GGCCCGUUGGUCAAGCGGUUAAGACACCGCCCUUUCACGGCGGUAUCCCGGGUUCGAUUCCCGGACCCGGACGGGUCACCA
rnacentral:tRNA from 1 species